rnacentral:rRNA from 1 species
CCUACGGGAAGCAGCAGUAGGGAAUCUUCCACAAUGGGCGAAAGCCUGAUGGAGCAAUACCAUGUGAACGAUGAAGGUCUUUUUGAUUGUAAAGUUCUUUUAUAGGGGAUAAUACUGAUAGUACUCUAUGAAUAAGUGACAGCAAACUAUGUGCCAGCAGCUGCGGUAAUACAUAGGUCGCAAGCAUUAUUCGGAUUUAUUGGGCGUAAAGCAAGCGCAGGCGGAUGCAUAAGUUCUGUGUGAAAAGCAGUUGCUUAACAAUUGUUGGCACCGAAUACUAUGCGUCUAGAAUGUGGUAGGAAGUUUUGGAAUUAAAUAUGGAGCGGUGGAAUGUGUAGAUAUAUUUAAGAACACCAGAGGCGAAGGCGAAAACUUAGGCCAUAAUUGACGCUUAGGCUUGAAAGUGUGGGGAGCAAAUGGGAUUAGAUACCCCAGUAGUCCACACCGUAAACGAUGGGUAUUAGAUAUCGGGUUCUGAGACUCGGUGUUGUAGCUUACGUGUUAAAUACCCCGCCUGGGUAGUAC